CCCCCUCAAGCAUCAUCAGAUCAGAUAGACCGACCCAGAUAGACACCAAACCUUUACUAGUACUUCUAGUACUACCAGUACCACAUUAUUAGUCAUAACAGCUAAGGAAAGCUUAGGAAAGGGAAAGGUAACCUCAGUACCAAAAACCUAAGCCUAACGUACGUGCCAACUGAGGUGCUCCUAAUUCCUAAGACUCUUCCCUUCUUUCUUCCUUUCUUUCUCUCUUUCUGCUCUUCUUCAGAACAACUCAGAAUUCAGAAGCAAAAGUUGCUAGCACUCAGUACCAUGUACACACGCAAACACCAUAUACUACUGAUUAGUUCAGUACUUAUACUGUUAAUCUAUUCUAGGUGCGUGGUUUCUUUCAACUUUUUAAACUGUAGCUUAAUGCAAAGUGUUUGACACUUUCACAGUCUAUUGUUGAGCUGCCGGUGGAGGCAACAAAUUCCUCUUUUGUUUAGAUCUCCGCUUGCGUUCUUGAGUUUUUGGCAGCUGGGCUUUGUGGGUAUUUUGUGAGAAGCUACGGCAGAUCUGGGUUUUCCUAUUGGAAUUGAGAGUUGAGGUUAAGAUAUUGUUGGAUAGGGUUUAUCCUAGAAAGAGAAGCAAAGAAAGAGAGGUAUUGAGUGCGGGUGAGAACUGGGAAUUGAGGAAGAAGGCAAAAGAGUAUUGGGUAGCUGGUUUUGUGGUUGGUUGGGGCCGGGUGAUUUUCCGUUUUUGGGUACAAGAAGUUUGGUCCAACAUACGCUUUUGGAGUUUCUCUGUUGGAUUUAGGGGUGUAUUUAUUAGAUCUCGUAUUUGCACAUCCAAAAAAAAAAAAAGCAAGGCAAAGAAGAAACCAUUUGCUAUUUGCUAUUUUUCAUUUCCACUAGUAGACCGAUGUAACGGAUGCGGCCAAUCCAAAAAGCAAUUUUGGCUGUUUGUUUGUUAAUACAUUGUGGAAGAGAACAAGAAGGUCAAGCAAGUGUUAGCAGCUAGCUUAGCUCAGUUCCGUUUCUUGAUAAAGAAAAAAGCGUUAUCUUGGGCUCCGACCGCAUUCUUGACUAGUUAGAAAAUCUUUCUCCCUGAAGAACGAAGCAUGGCGAACAGGUGGUGGGCUGGAAACGUGGCUAUGAAUCCGUUAGUAUCACCAUCGACUCCAUCUCCUUCUCUUCACCUAAGAAACAGUGCUACUGCAGAAGAUGAGAAUGCUGCUGGGCUAAACAGGCUUGGACAGCAAAGGAGAGACCAAGACUUCUUGGAUAACACUACAACAACCACCACCACCACCACCAAUACCACUGCCACUAACAGCAGCGGAAGCAACAAUAACCCCAACCCUAACCCAACCUCCCAAAACCCUGAUGAAGAAGAUAGCCGGGAAAAUGAGCCCGAAGCUGAGGAAAAUCCCGGAGCACUUGAAAUCUCUGAGCCGGGUAGCGGCGGUGGAAGUUCUGGAAGGCGACCUAGAGGCAGACCACCCGGCUCGAAAAACAAGCCAAAGCCGCCCAUUGUGAUAACAAAAGAAAGUCCUAAUGCUCUCCGAAGUCAUGUGUUGGAAAUAAGCAGUGGGAAUGAUGUUGCUGAGUGCAUUGCUGCCUUUGCCCAACGGCGCCAUCGGGGCGUCUCGGUUUUGAGUGGAAGUGGUAUUGUGACGAAUGUGACUCUGCGGCAACCGGCUGCACCUGGUGGGGUGAUAACCCUUCACGGGAGAUUCGAGAUAUUGUCUUUAUCAGGUGCAUUCUUGCCUGCUCCUUCCCCUCCUGGAGCUACUGGUUUGACAGUGUACUUAGCGGGCGGUCAAGGGCAAGUUGUUGGUGGAACAGUUGUUGGUCCCUUGAUGGCAUCUGGGCCGGUAAUGGUUAUAGCUGCAACGUUUACAAAUGCAACUUAUGAGAGGUUACCUCUGGAGGAGGAACCAGCCGGUGAAGGGAUUCAAUUGCAGGCAGCAUCAGGAGUUAAUACUGGAACUAUCACUGGUGCUUCUUCAGCUUCUCAAUCUCAUGUGAAUGGCUUAUUCAGGGGUUAGACAGGUGGUGGAGAUGCUGGCAUAGAAAUGUUGUCCAUGAAAUAUGGUAACUCUAAAGUACAAAGCAAAGCUGCUUGGAGUUUGGAUCGGGAAACUUGUGUUUACAGCUUGUACGCAUGGAUGCUAUUCGGGGGCAUGGUAUUAAGAUUCCUCUGUUGGUAUUUAGCGGCAUAUAAAAACUAUCUAAUAGUUGGUUAUCCAUGUAAAUUUUCUUUAAGAAAGUGUAAGUUAUGCACUUUGUUGUAAGUUGAAAAGAUUGCUAGCUGAUCGAUUUUAUUCUUUGAUUCUCUUUAUUCAUCGAUGAUUCUCCUUAUUCCUCUAAAAUGACUGGGAACUUCUGAUUCUGAGUAUGUAUUACAUUUUGUCUAGAGUUAAUAAGAUGAGACUUGAAAGAAAAAGAGAAAGAAAAGGAAAAAGAGAAGAUUAAAGAGACAGCUUGUUUUCUCUUAGAAUGCAUGCUAGAUUCUCUUCAGCUUAUUGUUUACCUUAUCUUUUCCGCAGGAUUUACUUUGAGGGAAAACUCGAAUUGGCAUGAGCAUUCUAUCUUUGAAUUUCUCCUACUGUUUCAUCCAUAAUUUGUUUAGGCUGAACACUGAUUUUUCUGUGUCCGUGAAACUGUUGCUGCUGUGAACUUCUCAGAACGUCAUUAAAAUAUCUGAAUCAAUUAGCAGAACAUAAAAAUAUGAAGUGGGAUAUCAGCAGCAAGAUAGAUUUUUUAGUUAAUCUUGAUUGAGUUUCCUGUUUCAGAACUGCUGAGAACCGUGGUCUGCGACUCAAUUUUCCAGGCAAGCUUAGAUGUGUCUGUUGGAAUAUGCUUAUAUUCCUUUUUCCUAGUGUUAAAAGAAGAAAAUGUAUUCACACAUUUCAGGCUUAUAUACUUCAGGUGCUCUAUGACCUUUUCUUUUCUUCACGGGGUGUUGCAUGUUUUGUAGGGACAGUAAUUUGUAAGCUGCUAUAAAAUGAUUUUGCUUGUGCAUUGUAUCCAUAAGUUUUGUUAUUCAGUGUCACCAACUGCGUUGCAUCAUCAAGUCUAGGGUUUUCUUGAUCUAAUUCUUGUUGGUAAACAUUUCAUUUUCAUAAUCUCUAAUGGCCAUGAUUUCAAGAUGUUAGCUAGUGGUUAAAUGUCUGCAUGGACCCAUUAACAUGUUGUCAUAUGUGUGAUCUAACCAGUUUAGGAUCCAUGCUGGGUUGCAUGCUUGUAGAAUUCACACUUUCCCUUGUCGGAGGUUUAUGCUGCCGGACUGGAUCGGUUAACCCCUACUUUGACAAAUAUUUUAGAUCAUUUUUGUAGGUUGAACAACAUUGUAGGGCACAGCGUAUGAUUCCAUUCGGGGACCAGGCUCUUUGUCCGUGUGCGCUGGCUUAACAUGAAUUGCUAGCUCCGAAGACCGCACCAAAGAAAAGGAAAAUGGCGACAGUCAUCAUUUGCAGAUGCAAUUUCUCUGUGGCGUAAGCACCAAAGAUGUCGUAAUUAGUCGUGGAUAGUUUCUUGAAAGGGAGAGAUAGAAUGCCAAGACGCUAGAUGCGUGUUCUUGGUUUGGUACCUUUGUUUCUAGCCACGGUAGAUGAGAGGUGGUUGUGGAUUCUCUAUGUCCUCCGUCUUCUCUAUUCUGACCUAACAAUAGGUCAAAUGUUGAAUUAGGCUCAAUAUCCCUAUCUACCAUUUGAAAUCGGUGAUUGUAUUGGUGCAAAUUAGCUCAACUCCACGUCAGUUAUGAAGACUUUGUCAUCGGUGAUGGUCGGCUAUUGGCUAUUAUCUCCAGCAGCCAUUGCAGUGGCUCAAGAUAACGUUGCUGUCACCGUGGUUAUAGAACUAUGGUCAUGGGGAGCCAUUUGCGUGAUCGAAGAAGCCAUUUCAAUUAUUUGUCGCUGAAAAUCUCAACAGUUUUCCUUUCUUCCAAUUGCCAGGACAGAGCAGAGCGUAAGCAAGAUGAUUUGGUUAAAGGUCCUUAAACAUUUGUUUGGAUGGUAGAUUAUUUGUAAAAUUUUAUUUAUUUCAUCAUUAAUAUAUUUUGUGAUCACAUUUUUGUCUCAUGUAUAUCACAUUAAAAAA